CGGCGAGUGAAGAGGGAAAAGCUCAAAGUUGGAACCUGGCUGCCCUAGGCAGUCCGGAUUGUAAACUAAAGAGCGUGAUUCCAGGCAAGCCGGUUGAUCAAGUCCUUUGGAAUGAGGCGCCACUGAGGGUGAGAGCCCCGUAAGUCGACUGAGCAUUUGUCUUUUGUGUUUCGCGUUCAAAGAGUCAGGUUGUUUGGGAAUGCAGCCUAAAGCUGGUGGUAAAUCCCACCUAAAGCUAAAUACAGGCGAGAGACCGAUAGCGAACAAGUACCGUGAGGGAAAGAUGAAAAGAACUUUGAAAAGAGAGUUAAACAGUAUGUGAAAUUGCCAAGAGGGAAGCAUUUGGAGUUAGAUUGACUAGGAGUUAAUCAGCUUGGUCUUUGGACUGGGUGUACUUGACUUCUAUUGGUCUGCCAAUAGCAGUUAGUCCUAGUGGAAAAAACUAGAGGGAAGGUAGUCCUUCGGGAUGUUUAUAGACCUUUGGAAAAUACACUGGGAUUGACUGAGGAAUGCAGUAGAUGCCACUAAGGCUUCGUCUAGUGGGUGCUAGGCAAAGGUACUUGGUAUUUUCAGCUUGCUGAUGUGCUAGGUUACCCGAGUCUAGUCGCCUACUAGAA
rnacentral:rRNA from 1 species